GGGGAAUUUUGGACAAUGGGCGAAAGCCUGAUCCAGCAAUGCCGCGUGUGUGAAGAAGGCCUUCGGGUUGUAAAGCACUUUUGUCCGGCAAGAAAUCCUUGGCUCUAAUACAGUCGGGGGAUGACGGUACCGGAAGAAUAGGCACCGGCUAACUACGUGCCAGCAGCCGCGGUAAUACGUAGGGUGCGAGCGUUAAUCGGAAUUACUGGGCGUAAAGCGUGCGCAGGCGGUUUGCUAAGACCGAUGUGAAAUCCCCGGGCUCAACCUGGGAACUGCAUUGGUGACUGGCAGGCUAGAGUAUGGCAGAGGGGGGUAGAAUUCCACGUGUAGCAGUGAAAUGCGUAGAGAUGUGGAGGAAUACCGAUGGCGAAGGCGACUCUCUGGACCGUAACUGACGCUGAGGCAUGAAAGCGUGGGGAGCAAAC
rnacentral:rRNA from 1 species